ACCAACAACUCACUCUCACUCCACUGCUCCCCGGGCGGCGCUCCCUUGCUCUGCUCUGCUCUCCACUCCCCGGCAACUGCAAGCCCUGUUGCUCCUCAUCUCCGCCUCGCCGGCCGGCAGCGCAGCGCAGCCCCCGCCGCCUCCCCCCACUCUCCCGUCAGCACGGUCCACGGCUCCCGGAUCUGAAGCAGCCGCACCGUGCUGCCGCCGCCCACAGCAACAGGUGGCAGCUAGCUAGGCGUCAGCGGCACCGGUCACCGGCGGCAAAGUCAGGCAGCGUACAUCACCGGCGAGAUUCAACCCAAGACAAUCCACAAGGGAAAGCUUUUGCAGCUACAGCAACCAAGAUUUACCUACAAUCACAUUUGAUUGGUUCCUUCCUGGAUAUGUAAGCUUUUCCAUUUGAAGCUAACCUAUACAAGCACUUCUAUCCUCAAGGAUUUAGUAUUUACUGAGUCCUGCGCUGCCGUACGAAGCAACCAGCAGCUGCAUCGAGAGGUUGAGAGAUGAGGGGGCUGAGUAGGAGGGACAGAGAAGAGCCUAUUAACGGAGAGCGGAUUUUCAGCGGACGAGCACCUUGGGAGUCCAAACAGUGUGAGCAAUUACUGAUAGGAUGCCGUCCACUCGUCCCACAUCCUUUCUCUUUCAUACUACUUCGUUCAAAUCUUCUGAUGUUUCUCAGUAAGUACUUCGUUCAAAGCUUAAAAUGGAGUUAAGUUAGUGGAUUUUGUUCACCCGCAAAAAAAAAAGUCUGCGGAUUUUGUUGUUGUGGCAAUGAUGCUAAUCUCAGUACUACAUAUUGGUUAAUGAACAUAUUUAAAUGUGGAGA